CUGACCUGCCCAGUGAUUAAUUUAACGGCCGCGGCAUACUGACCGUGCAAAGGUAGCAUAAUCAUUAGUCUUUUAAUAGAGGGCUGGAAUGAAAGGUUUAACGAGGAACUGACUGUCUCAUUUUAUUUGUUUUAAAAUUUAAUUUUUUAGUUAAAAAGCUGAAAUUUUAUUGGAAGACGAGAAGACCCUAUAGAUCUUUAUAUAAAUUUAAUUAAUUAUCUUUAUAUAAAUAUAAUUGUCUAAAUUUAUAUUUUGUUGGGGUGACAAAAAUAUAAAAUUAACUUUUUUAUUAAUUUAACAUUAAUUUAUGAAUAUAUGAUCCAUUAUUAGUGAUUAUUAGACUAAGUUACCUUAGGGAUAACAGCGUAAUCCUCCUCCAGAGUUCAUAUUUACAGGAUGGGCUUGCGACCUCGAUGUUGGAUUAAGAUAAUAAUCAGGUGCAGUCGCUUGAUUUAUAGGUCUGUUCGACCUUUAA
rnacentral:rRNA from 1 species